GAGGUGUGGCCGAGUGGUCGAAGGCAGCGGUCUUGAAAACCGCCGUUCCGCGAGGAACCGUGGGUUCGAAUCCCACCGCCUCC
rnacentral:tRNA from 1 species